rnacentral:rRNA from 1 species
AAUAUUGGACAAUGGGCGAAAGCCUGAUCCAGCCAUGCCGCGUGUGUGAAGACGGUCUUCGGAUUGUAAAGCACUUUAUGUUGGGAGGAAGGUGUCGAAGCUAAUACCUUCAACCUUUGACGUUUCCAACAGAAUAAGCACCGACUUACUCUGGGCCCGCCGCCGCGGUAAUACGAAGGGUGCAAGCGUUCAUCGGAAUUACUGGGCGUAAAGCGCGCGUAGGUGGUUUGUUAAGUUGGAAGUGAAAGCCCCGGGCUUAACAUGGGAAUUGCUUUCAAGACUGGCAAGCUAGAGUAUGGCAGAGGGUGGUGGAAUUGCCUGUGUAGCGGUGAAAUGCGUAGAUAUAGGAAGGAACACCAGUGGCGAAGGCGACCACCUGGGCUAAUACUGACACUGAGGUGCGAAAGCGUGGGGAGCAAACAGG